GCCACCUCUGUUUCGUCCUCUUUGGCAUCCUGCGUAUGCCAACAGUUUACCCAAAACCUAAAAUUCUACUUUGAAUUCUCUUUUCGAAUUUGAAAAGAAAGAAAACUCAAAAUUGGAGCAAAAAACUCAACCGAAAAAAAUAUAUCCUUUUUCGAAUUACCAAAACUGAUUCGCAGACUGUAAAUUUUUCUGGAGAAAGAACCCCAAGGCGCAACCUGUGAAUGUGAAAGGAGGAGAUUCUUUCUUCACCAAAACAAAUUUUGAUCUUUCAAUGGCUGAUUGGUGGGGACCGAGACCAACCAUUGAUGCGCAUGCGCUCACUUGGCCAACUGAUUAGUAUGAAGCAACAGCACUACAGCCCUACACAGUUCCGUGAUGGAUCAAGACAGAAGGUAACAAAAAAGCUUCAGUUUUGCUUACCAGUCAAUAGCCGCCAUUGGGUUAUCAGUCUGGCACGCAUUUGGUUUUAACAUACGUACUGAGAACAACAGUUGCCUAUGUUUUCUAUGCAUACAUAGUCAAUAGUCGUGUCCUAAACUCUAUAUAUUUGGCCUUCUCAGUUAACAAUCAUAAGGAUCUCUUCUAAUUCUAUCCUUAACUUGGAUAACCAGUAGGAAGGGAUAUACAAGGCAAAAAUUAAAUGGGUCGUCUUUGUUUUUCGUUUAUGAUUGGUUCUAAUUUGCUCUGUCUGUUAUUCAAACAUUCCUUUGCAGUUGACAACAUUAGUCCCUCCCAGUCUAUACGCGAUGGAACGACCUUGGCUUCAAGAGGUGGAAGCUUUGAGCUUGGCUUCUUCAGUCCAGGUAGUUCCAAGAAUCGUUACUUGGGCAUUUGGUACAAGAACAUCCCAGUUAGAACUGUUGUUUGGGUUGCAAACAGAUGCAACCCCAUUAAUGAUUCUUCCGGCAGGUUGAUGAUGAACAGCACAGGACAUCUUGUGCUGUUAGGUCAGAAUAAGAGUGUUGUUUGGUGGAUAAGCUCAGCUAAACAUGCCCCAAGUGCAACGGUAGAGCUUUUAGAUUCUGGGAAUUUAGUACUAAGGGAUGCAGGAACCUAUUUGUGGCAAAGCUUUGACUAUCCUUCUGAUACGUUGUUACCAGGAAUGAAGAUGGGAUGGGACUUGAGGACAGGUAUAAAACGGAGUUUAUCAGCAUGGAAAAAUUCAGAAGACCCGUGUCCAGGAGAUUUCACUUAUGGGAUUGAAAUGGAACUUAAUAAAUAUCCUGAGGCAUAUGUUCGGAAAGGCACUGCAAAAUACUAUCGUACUGGCCCAUGGAAUGGACUGAGAUUCAGUGGUUCACCAGAAUUAAGGCCUAAUCCACUUUAUAGGUUCAACUUUGUCUAUAAUGACAAUGAAGUGUACUACAUGUACAACCUUCAAAGUAAGUCUGUAAUCUCAAGAAUAGUUUUGAACCAAACCGCAAGUACUCGUGAUCGCUUUACAUGGAUUGAAGCAUAUCAAACUUGGAGGGCCUAUUCAUCAGUACCAAGAGACUUGUAUGAUCAUUAUGGCCUCUGCGGAGCCAAUGGAAAGUGUAUCAUUGGUGAGAAUCCUGUCUGCCAAUGUCUAAAAGGAUUCAAGCCCAAGUCUCAAGAAAAAUGGAAUUUGACAGACUGGUCUCUAGGAUGUGUGCGCAAUAAACCGUUAAGCUGCCAGGAAAGAUAUAAAGAUGGGUUUGUCAAAUUUGUUGGCUUGAAACUGCCAGAUACUACACAUUCUUGGGUGAGCAAAAGUAUGAAUCUUAAGGAAUGCAGAACUAAAUGCUUGAAAAACUGUUCCUGUAUGGCUUAUACAAGCUCAGAUAUCAGAGGAGGAGGUACUGGCUGCGCCACCUGGUUUGGUGAUCUAAUAGAUAUCAGGCAGUUUGUGGCUAGUGGACAGGAUCUGUAUAUUCGUAUGCCGGCCUCAGAGUUAGAAAAUGGAGGUAAAGUGAAGACAGCAAUGACAAUAGAAGUUUCUGUAGCAGUAAUGUUUUCUGGAGUGGUAUUCGUUGGAUAUUACCUUCACCGAAACAGGAGAAAAUUAAAAGAUAUAAGCGAAACAAAUCAGAACAAUGAAGGGGAACUAAAGGAGGACCUGGAGCUCCCGCUCUUCAACCUGACCACAGUAAUAGGUGCCACAAAUAACUUUUCAAAUGAUAACAAGCUCGGAGAAGGUGGAUUUGGACCCGUUUACAGGGGAACACUACCAGAUGGACAAGAAAUUGCUGUGAAGAGGCUUUCAAGAAGUUCUGGCCAAGGAUUGAAUGAGUUCAAGAAUGAAAUUAUACUGUUUGCCAAGCUCCAGCAUUGAAAUCUUGUAAAGCUUCUUGGAUGCUGCAUUCAAGGAGAGGAGAAAAUGCUAAUUUAUGAAUACAUGCCCAACACAAGCCUAGACUCCUUUAUUUUUGAUCAAAUGAGAGAAGAAUUACUGUUAGAUUGGCCUAAAUGUUUCCACAUUAUUUGCGGAAUUGCUCGGGGUCUCCUCUAUCUCCAUCAAGAUUCCAGGCUAAGGAUUAUUCAUAGAGAUCUCAAAGCAAGUAAUGUUUUACUUGACAACGAAAUGAAUCCAAAAAUUUCAGACUUUGGCUUGGCUAGAAAAUUAGUUGGAGGAGAUCAGACGGGCGGAAAUACAAACAGAGUGUUUGGAACAUACGGUUACAUGGCACCUGAAUAUGCUAUCUAUGGACUGUUUUCUGUCAAAUCUGAUGUCUUUAGCUUUGGUAUUUUGGUGUUGGAGGUCAUAAGUGGAAGGAAAAAUAAGGGAUUCUACCAUCCAAACCAGAGUCAUAACCUUAUUGGACAUGCAUGGAUAUUAUGGAAACAAGGGAGGCCUUUAGAACUGAUUGAUACGCGUUUAGGAAGCCCAUAUACUCUAUCAGAAGUGUUACGUUGCAUCCAUGUUAGUCUUUUAUGCUUGCAACAUCAUCCUGAGGAUAGACCAACCAUGGCAUCUGUGCUUAUAAUGUUGGGAAGUGAGAUUCCCUUGGCUCAGCCCAAGCAACCUGGUUUCUUUAUAGAAACGGAAUCACUUGAAGCAGGUGUUUCUCCAGGAAAUCAAUCGUCAACAAACAAAAUAUCGAUUACACUUAUGGAGGCUCGUUAAGGAUCGAUUAAUUCGUGGUAUAUAGGUUCAUGCUGCUUGGCUCAAUUGUUGUGCAUACUUCCAAAACAAGUCACUUUCAUAGAUCGUUGUCAGUUUUUGAACACUUAAAUUAAAGCAUGAAUAUGUGAAUUCUUUGUUUUAUGGAAUUUGGUUAAUAUCUCUAAUUCCAUAAAUCUCAUAAACAGGCUUGGGUUAUUCCGUACUGUUAUUCUUUCGUACAGGGCCAAUAAAAAGGCUUUAGGCAUCCAAUUUUGUAGGUUCAGGCUUUACCAACGUGAAGCAUGUUUUAUGGAACUUAGACAAUGUUUUU